rnacentral:rRNA from 1 species
AUAAACGCUGGCGGCGCACAUAAGACAUGCAACUCUAACGAACUUAACCCUUUGUUUACAUUGGGAGCGGUUAGUGGCGGACUGGUGAGUAACACGUAAGCAACCUGCCUAUUAGAGGGGAAUAACAGUGAGAAAUCAUUGCUAAUACCGCAUAUGCUCACAGUAUCACAUGAUACAGUGAGGAAAGGAGCAAUCCGCUAAUAGAUGGGCUUGCGUCUGAUUAGCUAGUUGGUGGGGUAACGGCCUACCAAGGCGACGAUCAGUAGCCGGACUGAGAGGUUGAACGACCACAUUGGGACUGAGAUACGGCCCAGACUCCUACGGGAGGCAGCAGUCGGGAAUAUUGCGCAAUGGAGGAAACUCUGACGCAGUGACGCCGCGUAUAGGAAGAAGGUUUUCGGAUUGUAAACUAUUGUCGUUAGGGAAGAUAAAAGACAGUACCUAAGGAGGAAGCUCCGGCUAACUAAGUGCCAGCAGCCGCGGUAAUACAUAGGGAGCAAGCGUUAUCCGGAAUUAUUGGGUGUAAAGGGUGCGUAGACGGAGGAACAAGUUAGUUGUGAAAUCCCUCGGCUUAACUGAGGAACUGCAACUAAAACUAUUCCCCUUGAGUGUCGGAGAGGAAAGUGGAAUUCCUAGUGUAGCGGUGAAAUGCGUAGAUAUUAGGAGGAACACCAGUGGCGAAGGCGACUUUCUGGACGAUAACUGACGUUGAGGCACGAAAGUGUGGGGAGCAAACAGGAUUAGAUACCCUGGUAGUCCACACUGUAAACGAUGGAUACUAGGUGUAGGGUGUAUUAAGCACUCUGUGCCGCCGCAAACGCAUUAAGUAUCCCACCUGGGGAGUACGACCGCAAGGUUGAAACUCAAAGGAAUUGACGGGGACCCGCACAAGCAGUGGAGUAUGUGGUUUAAUUCGAAGCAACGCGAAGAACCUUACCAGGGCUUGACAUAUACCGGAAUAUACUAGAGAUAGUAUAGUCCUUCGGGACUGGUAUACAGGUGGUGCAUGGUUGUCGUCAGCUUGUGUCGUGAGAUGUUGGGUUAAGUCCCGCAACGAGCGCAACCCCUAUCGUUAGUUGCUAGCAGGUAAAGCUGAGAACUCUAGCGAGACUGCCGGUGAUAAAUCGGAGGAAGGUGGGGAUGACGUCAAAUCAUCAUGCCCUUUAUGUCCUGGGCUACACACGUACUACAAUGGCCGCAACAGAGGGAAGCGAAAUAGUGAUAUGGAGCAAAACCCGAAAAACGGUCUCAGUUCGGAUUGAAGGCUGAAAUUCGCCUUCAUGAAGCUGGAAUUGCUAGUAAUGGCAGGUCAGCAUACUGCCGUGAA